UACGUAGGGGGCAAGCGUUGUCCGGAUUUAUUGGGCGUAAAGAGCGUGUAGGCGGCCAUACAGGUCCGUUGUGAAAACUGGAGGCUUAACCUACAGACGUCGAUGGAAACCGUAUGGCUAGAGUCCGGAAGAGGAGAGUGGAAUUCCUGGUGUAGCGGUGAAAUGCGCAGAUAUCAGGAAGAACACCCGUGGCGAAGGCGGCUCUCUGGGACGGUACUGACGCUGAGACGCGAAAGCGUGGGGAGCGAACAGG
rnacentral:rRNA from 1 species